CGCUGCAGCAGCUACAAAGACGACGCCGGCUGCGCUCGGGGGACCAGAGGGAGGGAGGCUGCGGACGAGUGCGGGGAGGAGUUUGUGAUGGGAGGCGCUUGCAGGGGCUCCCCCAGUUCUGCGCUGUGAGCUGGGGCACAAAGAACCCUCUGCACUCGCCCGCAGGACCGCCGACCCGAGCGCCUGCCCUUCCUUCGCUUCUGGGGCUCAAAUCCAGGUGUCCGGUGUUGGCGUUCCGUGUGGCCGAAGAAUGGAAAGGGCUGGUCAACCACCCUCGUUGGAAAGAAUAGUGACCAUGCUGAAGGCAUCUGUCCACCCCAGCGGUUCCAGACGUUAAUGUGGCUACCAUGACCCCAUUGGCAUGAAUUGAAAACCGAGGUGUUCCUCCUCCUCCUGUGCACUCAGCUUCAUGCUUUGAGAGUACGGCAAGUUCCAGGGAUAAAGAAGAGAGAAGAGAAUUUCCACGUUCUUCAGGACAUUCACAUCCAUGCUGGGAAGCCACCUUGCAGAUAAGUAUUCAAGCUCACGAGCCCACAGAAUACUGUUCUUUGUAGAAGUGUCGUAUUCUAGAAUGCCAAGUUAGAAGGGGACAAUUGGUAAUGUAGCUCAUUCACUGUUUGUUCUACCUCUAUCCCAGAAAGAAAGAGUUGUCCCCAUUUUAAGAGAUCCCCCCCCCGCCAGAAAGUGAUUUUUCAUACCUCACUUUUGGUAUAGGGUGUAAUAUUUUAUAAAGUUUACUAUCAGGAACUUCUGCAGAGCUGAGUUAAAUGAUUUCAUCUUGUGCCUCUGUAGACUUGGCGUUAGACGGAGGUUUGGGACUCCCUGGUGAUUGAGACUGGCCCUUCUCAGGUGUAUCCUUUUGAGAUAGUAUUCAUAAGCUUUAGCUGGCACUCUUCAGCCUUGCAGUCAAGAAUAGAGAGACCUCAGCACUGCGCCACUGUACACAGUCUUCUCAGUGCAAGGGUCUAAGUACCUUUCCAGCUCUGGGCUUGUGCCCAAAUCCCAGGUGCUGAAAGCAAACUCUGAAAAUGAGCUCAGAAGGGUGGGGCAUGGUGGCUCAUGCCUGUAAUCCUAGCACUCUGGAAGGCCAAGGCUGGUGGAUCACCUGAGCUCAGGAGCUCGAGACCAGGCUGAGCAAGCCCCCAUCUCUAUGAAAAAUAGAAAAACUAUCCAGGCCUUGUGGUGGGCAUCUGUAGUCCCAGCUACUCAGGAGGCUGAUGCAGGAGAAUCUCUUUAGCCCAGUGAGCUACAGUGACACCACAGCACUCUACCCGGGGUGACGGGGUGAGACUCUGUCACACACACACACUAGAAAAAGAAAAAAGAAAGAAGAAAAAGGUUUGUAAUAAAAAAAGAAAAAGAAAAUGAAAAUAAACUGAGAGGCCCCUCUGACCCUCUUGGCUCUGGUCUGCCAUUUGAUGGAGAUAGCACAGUUGUCACCAACACCAAAACCGGGGAAGUAGUCCUGGGUCAGGGUUAGUGCUCAUUCUCUGGUCUUCUCCAGAUUGGUGACAUAGGAUGAUCCCUUAAACUAGACCUACCCCAGCCUCUGGCUCCCCCAGCUUCCUCUGGUGCAUGGUCAGGAAGGAUGGGAGGAGCAGAAAAGUAACCGAGGCUGGCAGAAGGGUCCUUCCUGUUUCUUAUCCUGUGUUUCCAGUGACGGCAACUGUGGUGCUCCUUGGGUGUCAGAGUUGGGAGCUGUCCCAGGGCCCAGAGAGAGGGAUGGGCUUCCCAGGGCCCCGCAAAGUAGCAGGGGUAGAUUCUAGACCCUGAUGUCCUGUUCAGUGUUCCCUCUCAGCUGUCAACAAGCUGCUGAGUUUAUCCUGGGUCACAUUCUGCAGUUGUUGGGGAACAGAGGUGGCUGAAGGGAGCCCCUCCUCCAGGGCCCCCCACACUCUUUAAGGAUGUUCUGGGGUGGGAGAAGGGGAGGUGGUGGGUGCUGUGCCUAGGCUCAGCCUCCCUGGUUCCUGGACUACCUUCUCUGGCCAGGCCUUGGCCUGGGAGGGGACCUGGGUGUGGUUUUCCCCUGCGAUGUGGUUGGUUCCUUUGUCUUCCAGGAUGGGCCUGUGGGUCUGUGUGGGGAAGGAGCUGGGAACCAGGCCUGCCUGGGCUGCCAAUGUGUUGGCUGGCUGCUGUCAGGUAAGCUGGGGGCAGGUGUCGGGGAAGCAUGGAAGGCGGUUGCAUUCAGCGGGUAGGUUGCCCUUCCUCCUAGGCCCCAUCCCCAGCCCCAGGCUUGGCCAGAACACUUCAGCUCAUGAGAAGAAGGCCCAGGAACCAGGUAGCUGGAAGUCUUGUUCUGUGGGUCCUGGUGGGGGUAGCUGGGUGGGGACAGAAUCAAGACCUCUGUGGGUGGACACAUGGCAGAGAUUUUAGCAUGUUCCUUCAUCCAGCACUGACAUGGACCAAGCACCUUCUUGGAGCCAGAAGCUGGAGAUCCAGAGGUGAACACAGACAUGGUCCUGUCCUUUCGGAUCUUCAUGACUCCUGGUCUUCUUUUUGGAGCCUGGCUGACUCAGGACUCUGGCCGUGGUGACCCAGGGAGCAGCUUUCCGUGUUUUUCUGGAACCCUGGAUGAUCCCUUGAAGAUCUCAUCCUUCCCAAUUGCUAGGAUGGAGCAUGCUGUGGAUAAGAGCCUUUGCUGGUCGAUGAUACUUGGCUCAGCCCAGUACCAGACCUUGCUCUGAAGGACAGCUUGAGGGGUAUGAGGGAGGCCAGGCAGCCCCCACCCCCUCCCCACCUGCUCAGACUCUACCUGUGGGCCCUGCUGUUGGGGCUGGAGGCCGCUUCCUGACCCUGCCUGGACUUGAUUCCUUUUUGCAUUUUGGCCAGAGACCAGACAGAGCUUAGCCUGGGCUGAGGCCUCACUGACCACUCCCCUGCCCUACAGGAUGGGCACUGGGCAGGGGACUCCCAGUGGGUGGGCAGGUGCAGCUCCUGGGGUGGUCUGUCUGUCUUUUGCCAUUUGCCUUGUGCUUAAUUGUCAUUUCUUUGGGGGCUUCCUGGGUGGGGCUUUUCUGUGCUUCUCCUCUCCCAGAGGGUUACAGGCAGGAGGCAGUUAGGGCCUGGGGGAACCUAGGCCUUCCCCCAGUAUUGCUGAGCUCUGAAAGGGGUAGCCGGUGGGGCUCAGGUUGUGCCAUCCUGAAAAGAGAGAGUCUCUAAGAAGUGGGGACCCAGGCCAGGAAAUCUCAUUGCAAUGAAAUAGAUAGCCCUGGGUCUUUUUCCUGCCAUCUGAAGGGAAUCAGCCUCACCCUUGAAGGGUCACCCAGUCAGACCUGGACUCCUUUGGGCACUGAUCCUGUGUUCUGUUCUUGAGGAGCAGAGGCUGGGAGCACAAGCCUCACACACCUGCUUCUCCAUUCUCUACCCCUGAUUACAACCCCCUCCAGCAGAGACAGUCCCAGAGUUUGCAAGAGAGCAGCCUAGGCAAAUUUCAUAGCCCUGUGUCCUUUCCCGGGUGUGGAGCAGGUGUGUACUCCUCACUGUGGGCUGCCACAACAGAAUACUACACAUCAGAGAUUUGAUUUUUCACAGUUUUGAAGGCCGGAAAGUCCAAGAUCAAGGUGCCAGGGUUGGUUUCUGGUGAGCCCUCUCUCCUCUGUUUGCAGGUGGCAUCUUCUCACUGUGUCCUUAUGUGGCCUUUUCUCUAUGUGGCAGAGGGCAGAGAGAAGGAGAGAGUAAGAAACCCACAUUUGAGCUUGCAUGUCUCUUCUUAUUAUGAGGACACCAAUCCUAUCAAAUUAUGACCUCAUUUCACCUUAAUCAACCCCUUAAAACAGCAAUCCCCAAACUUAUCAGCACCAGGAACUGGUUUCAUGGAAGACUUCGAUUUUUCCAUGGACUAGGGGUGGGAGUGGAGGGGACAGGAGGGGGACUCAGGCAGUGACACUGUGUGGCUGGUUUCUUAAUAGGCCACAGACUGGUUCAGGUCUGUAGCCUGGGAGUUGGGGACUGCAGGCUGUCUCCAAAGGGGAGACGGUCACAUAGUGGGCUAGAGCUUCAACAUAUGCAUUUUGGGGAGGAAGGAAACACAAUUCAGUUCAUAACAGGGUGGUUAUCACAAACAUGGAGCCGUCUCCCUUUGGAACUCCCACCAUCACAGGGAAGGGGAGGAGUAAAAGGUUUGAGAAACACAGUGGCAGGUCCUGUGCUGAGGUGGCUCUGAGUGCUUUGGGGACACGUGGAACUGGCCGGACCCAGUGCAGAGAGCCAAAAGCCCUCAGGAAAAGUGAUGUCUGUAGAAGAGCCUCAGCUUUGAAGCCAGAUCAGGUGUGGGGUGCACACUCUGCUGUACAUCCUUGGGCAAGUUGCCUCACCUCUGGGAGUCUCGAUUUCCACUCUGUGAAGUGGGCUGCAUGUGCUUGCCUGGUGGGCACAAUUGCCUUGCACAGGGCCUGAUCCUAGGAGGUGCUCGGUAAAUGUCCCCAUCCAUCUGGGAGUUUAGAUUUAGGGUUUGUUUAAUUUUGGUUCUCUGGACUAUAAAACUUUGAAUCCAGAGGCUUUUCUUUUCUUUUCUUUCUUUCUUUUUUUUUUGAGAGACUCUGUCGUUCUGAGUAGAGUGCCAUGGUAUAGCUCACAGCAACCUCAAACUCCUGGUCUAGAGGAAUCCGUUUGCAUCAGCCUCCUGAGCAGCAGGGACUACAUGGGUGCGCCACACGCCUGGCUAGUUUUUCUAUUUUUAGUAGAGACCGGGUCUCACUCUUACCCAGGCUGGUCUUGACUUCCUGACCUCAAGCAACCCACUGGCCUUGGCCUCCCAGAGGGCUAGGCUGACAGGUGUGAGCUACCACACCCUGCCCUAUAGGCAUUUCUUACUAGCCUUUUUCCUGCCUGGUUUCUUAAUAUCUCUCUUGGAGCCACUUGGGGCAGUGGUAGCAUUUCAUGGCCUCUGUAGCAUAGUGCCUCCUGGGGUAUUUACAUUUUUCUUCUCUCAUCAGAAUUGAGCACCUACUGGGGCCCUUUUUUGUGCUAGUCACUCAGGGGGCAGACAGAUGGUAAUCUGGUGGCAGUUGAAACCUUUAGGAUUUCACCAGCAUGCUGGAUGGGAUAAAACCAGCUCACAUGAAGAACUGGAAAUGUCACAGGGUCAUAACGAGUCACCUGAGGCACAGGCUCUGAGUGAGUCCCCAGCUCUUGGGGUGGGUGAUGGGAGUGAGACCCAGAAAGGGCUGCAGUAGUCUGGAACAUCCUCCUAGGCAGGCUAAAGCAACAGGGGUCUUGAAGGAUGAGAAAGAUGUGGUUUAGCUGAGAGCCUGUGGGGAAAAUUUCCAAAGUAAGUUCUAGGGGGUGCUAUUGCUCUUUCAGAGAAAAAAAAAAGUGAGUUCAAAUUUAGUAGGUUUCUGUAGUAUAGAAUUUAUCAGAGCCUUUAAGGUACUAAUGGGAAUUCUGAAUACUCUGCAACAGGACAGAAGAGGAAACGUUUCCCAACUUUUCUGGCUACAGAAUCCUUUUCUCCUAGAGCGUACUUUAGCACUGUGAGAUGCUAGUUGGGGGUUUUAUGGGAAAAAUACAGAGGUGAUAGGAGUGGCAUAACCAAGGUACACAUAGGUGCUUUGUGGCAUUGGCUGGAAAGGAAGCAGACCAGGAGGGGCACCAGGAGGGGCUGGGGAAUCGGAACUUGGUUCCAGGAGCCAGGCCAGCUUGAUGCAGUUUUUUUUUUUAUGGGGGUAGGGCAGGCUGGUGGUUGGAGGAGGUAGAAGCCUGGCAGUCGCUGACAGAAGAGAUGUCCACUGAACAUAGUGGCACUGGGGGAUCACAUCUAUGGGGGACAAGUGCUGGUGUGUGCGCGGGCACAAUGAUCCAGCCUACUGGGAAAGGGCUGAUCAGAACCAGGCAGGGGGUUCCAGCCAGGACGAUGGGACCCAGGACAAGUAAGGUUCAUUUUCAGGGAAGUGAAGUGUUUUGGGAGGUGAGUGGGUGGAGGCUCUGAGAGCCACAGCGAAGAAAUAAGGAGGCGAAUGUUCCUGGGCAGGGUCUAUGAGGCUAAGCUUGAUUCUGGUGGGGGUUAAGGGCUUUGAGGCAGACCCCCUGCCUGGUCAGGUCCUGCUCCCGGGCUGUAUGGGUUGGGAGGCCUCUGGAGCACAGCUGGAGGGGCUGGGGCAGUGUUGCAUGGUGUGAUUAACCUACUAACCCAGGGCUCGGCCGGGACGCUGCGGUGUGUGAUGAGGUGCCUGGCCUUCUGCCAGCCAACUAACCCACUAACCAGGUCCCAGCAUGCCCUACUAACCCCUUGCCACCCCGCAGCCAAACCCUACUAACCAUGCAGCUCAUGGGCCUUACAAGGCACUGGCACAUGGGGGCAGACAAAGCUCCAGAAGGGCCUACCCGUGGGCUGGGAUCUUUGUGCAGACCCGUAUUCCAGGACAAGGCAUGCAAAUAAGACUCACCAACCAUGUCACUUCCUGUUGAGUGUCUUUGAGCAAGUCGCCUCACUUCUCUGAACUCCAGUUUCCUCAGUGGUAGAACAGGAGCACUGAUACCUCACAGGUGGCAGUGAAGAGUCCCUUCAAUACAGAGGUCUUAGCACACAGAAGAUAC